rnacentral:rRNA from 1 species
CAGCAGCCGCGGUAAUACGAAGGGGGCUAGCGUUGUUCGGAAUUACUGGGCGUAAAGGGCGCGUAGGCGGCCAUCCAAGUUAGAUGUGAAAGCCCUGGGCUCAACCUAGGAAUUGCAUUUGAUACUGUUUGGCUUGAGUUCGGGGGAGGUGAGUGGAACUGCGAGUGUAGAGGUGAAAUUCGUAGAUAUUCGCAAGAACACCAGUGGCGAAGGCGGCUCACUGGCCCGGUACUGACGCUGAGGCGCGAAAGCGUGGGGAGCAAACAGGAUUAGAUACCCCAGUAGUCCCUGUCUCUUAUAC